GCCGACAUGGCGCAGUGGUAACGCGUCGCACUUGUAAUGCGAAGAUCUCUAGUUCAAUUCUGGAUGCCGGCA